UGCCCAGCAACUCCUAUUCCAACCUCCUCGCGGUACUGGCCGGGGUACGAGAAACUUUAGGGAAGA
rnacentral:ribozyme from 1 species